rnacentral:rRNA from 1 species
UACGGAGGGUGCGAGCGUUGUCCGGAAUCACUGGGCGUAAAGGGCGCGUAGGCGGCCUGAUAAGUAGGGGGGUGAAAUCCUGCGGCUUAACCGCAGGGCUGCCUUCUAAACUGUCAGGCUGGAGCACAGUAGAGGCAGGCGGAAUUCCGGGUGUAGCGGUGGAAUGCGUAGAGAUCCGGAAGAACACCGGUGGCGAAGGCGGCCUGCUGGGCAGUUUGCUGACACUGAGGCGCGACAGCGUGGGGAGCAAACAGG